rnacentral:rRNA from 1 species
UACGUAGGGUGCGAGCGUUGUCCGGAAUUACUGGGCGUAAAGAGCUCGUAGGUGGUUUGUCGCGUUGUCCGUGAAAACUCACAGCUUAACUGUGGGCGUGCGGGCGAUACGGGCAGACUGGAGUACUGCAGGGGAGACUGGAAUUCCUGGUGUAGCGGUGGAAUGCGCAGACUAUCAGGAGGAACACCGGUGGCGAAGGCGGGUCUCUGGGCAGUAACUGACGCUGGAGGAGCGAAAGCCGUGGGGAGCGAACAGG